CAAUAGCGUCUAUUAAAGUUGUUGCAGUUAAAAAGCUCGUAGUUGGAUUUCUGAUCGAGACAUCAGGUCGGGUCCGAGAGGAUCAUGUACUUUGAUUUUGUUUUGAUCAUCCUUGGGGAGAGCAUUUCUGGCAUUCAGUUGUCGGGAUUGGGAUCCUCAUCGUUUACUGUGAAAAAAUUAGAGUGUUCAAAGCAGGCCUCGGCCUCUGAAUACAUUAGCAUGGAAUAAUAAGAUAGGACUUUGGUGGUCUAUUUUGUUGGUUUGCACGCCAAAGUAAUGAUUAAUAGGGAUAGUUGGGGGUAUUCGUAUUCAAUUGUCAGAGGUGAAAUUCUUGGAUUUAUGGAAGACGAACUACUGCGAAAGCAUUUACCAAGGAUGUUUUCAUUAA
rnacentral:rRNA from 1 species